CUACGUAGGGGGCGAGCGUUGUCCGGAAUGAUUGGGCGUAAAGGGCGCGUAGGCGGCCCGGUAAGUCUGGAGUGAAAGUCCUGUUUUUAAGAUGGGAAUUGCUUUGGAUACUGUCGGGCUUGAGUGCAGGAGAGGUAAGUGGAAUUCCCAGUGUAGCGGUGAAAUGCGUAGAGAUUGGGAGGAACACCAGUGGCGAAGGCGACUUACUGGACUGUAACUGACGCUGAGGCGCGAAAGUGUGGGGAGCAAACAGGAUUAGAUACCCUGGUAGUCCACACUGUAAACGAUGAAUGCUAGGUGUAGGGGGUAUCGACCCCUUCUGUGCCGCAGUCAACACAAUAAGCAUUCCGCCUGGGGAGUACGGCCGCAAGACUGAAACUCAAAUGAAUUGGCGGGG
rnacentral:rRNA from 1 species